rnacentral:rRNA from 1 species
CCUACGGGUGGCAGCAGUGAGGAAUAUUGGUCAAUGGCCGGAAGGCUGAACCAGCCAUGCCGCGUGAAGGUCAGUGCCCUAUGGGCGUUAAACUUCUUUUGUGCGGGAGCAAUAAUGGUCACGUGUGGCCAGACGAGAGUACCGUACGCAUAAGAAUCGGCUAACUCCGUGCCCGCAGCCGCGGUCAUACGGGGGGUGCAAGCGUUAUCCGGAUUUAUUGGGUUUAAAGGGUGCGUAGGCUGUGAGGUAAGUCAGCGGUGAAAUGCCCCCGCUCAACGGGGGGAUGUGCCAUUGAUACUGCCUUGCUGGAAUGCGGAUGCCGUGAGAGGAAUGUGUGGUGUAGCGGUGAAAUGCAUAGAUAUCACACAGAACACCGAUUGCGAAGGCGUCUCACGAAUCCGCGAUUGACGCUGAUGCACGAAAGCGUGGGUAGCAAACAGGAUUAGAUACCCCUGUAGUC